rnacentral:rRNA from 1 species
GACGAACGCUGGCGGCGUGCUUAACACAUGCAAGUCGAACGAAGAGCGAUGGAAGCUUGCUUCUAUCACUCUUAGUGGCGAACGGGUGAGUAACGCGUAAUCAACCUGCCCUUCAGAGGGGGACAACAGUUGGAAACGACUGCUAAUACCGCAUACGAUCUAAUCUCGGCAUCGAGGAAAGAUGAAAGGUGGCCUCUAUUUAUAAGCUAUCACUGAAGGUGGGGAUUGCGUCUGAUUAGCUAGUUGGAGGGGUAACGGCCCACCAAGGCGAUGAUCAGUAGCCGGUCUGAGAGGAUGAACGGCCACAUUGGGACUGAGACACGGCCCAGACUCCUACGGGAGGCAGCAGUGGGGAAUCUUCCGCAAUAGACGAAAGUCUGACGGAGCAACGCCGCGGGAGUGAUGACGGCCGUCGGGUUGUAAAGCUCUGUUAAUCGGGACGAAAGGCCUUCUUGCGAACAGUUAGAAGGAUUGACGGUACCGGAAUAGAAAGCCACGGCUAACUACGUG